AUCUUGGUUCAGGACGAACGCUGGCGGCGUGCUUAACACACGCAAGUUGAACGGUAUGACAUGGAAGCUUGCUGAAGUGUCAUAUAGUAGCGGACGGGUGAGUAAUGCAUGAGAAGCUGCCAUUGGAGGGGGACAACAGUUGGAAACGGCUGCUAAUACCCCGUAUGCCGGAAGGUGAAAGGGAGCGAUCCGCCCGAUGAGGUGCUCAUGUCCUAUCAGCUGGUUGGUGGGGUAACGGCCUACCAAGGCGACGACGGGUAGCCGGCCUGAGAGGGUGAACGGCCACACUGGAACUGAGAUACGGUCCAGACUCCUACGGGAGGCAGCAGUGGGGAAUAUUGGGCCAAUGGGGGCAACCCUGACCCAGCGACGCCGCGUGGGGGAAGACGGCCUUCGGGUUGUAAACCUCUUUUGUACGGGAAGAAGGAAGUGACGGUACUGUACGAAUAAGUCCCGGCUAACUACGUGCCAGCCGCCGC
rnacentral:rRNA from 1 species